rnacentral:rRNA from 1 species
GUUGUAUAGUCAAGUAAUUAAGUGCAUGUGGUGGAUGCCUUGGCAGUCAGAGGCGAUGAAAGACGUGAUAGCCUGCGAAAAGCUCCGGGGAGGCGGCAAAUAUCCUUUGAUCCGGAGAUGUCUGAAUGGGGGAACCCACCUACUUUAAGGUAGGUAUUGCAACAUGAAUACAUAGUGUUGCAAGGCGAACGAGGGGAAGUGAAACAUCUCAGUACCCUUAGGAAAAGAAAUCAAUUGAGAUUCCCUCAGUAGCGGCGAGCGAACGGGGAUCAGCCCAUUAAGUUAUGUGUGUUUUAGUGGAACGCUCUGGGAAGUGCGAACGUAGAGGGUGAUAUUCCCGUACACGAAAGGGCACACAUAAUGAUGACGAGUAGGGCGAGGCACGUGAAACCUUGUCUGAAUAUGGGGGGACCAUCCUCCAAGGCUAAAUACUCCUGACUGACCGAUAGUGAACCAGUACCGUGAGGGAAAGGCGAAAAGAACCCCUGUGAGGGGAGUGAAAUAGAUCCUGAAACCGCAUGCAUACAAGCAGUGGGAGCACCUUCGUGGUGUGACUGCGUACCUUUUGUAUAAUGGGUCAGCGACUUAUAUUCAGUAGCGAGGUUAACCGUAUAGGGGAGCCGUAGAGAAAUCGAGUCUUAAUAGGGCGUUUAGUUGCUGGGUAUAGACCCGAAACCAGGCGAUCUAUCCAUGAGCAGGUUGAAGGUUGGGUAACACUAACUGGAGGACCGAACCCACUGUCGUUGAAAAGCCAGGGGAUGACUUGUGGAUAGGGGUGAAAGGCUAAUCAAGCCUGGUGAUAGCUGGUUCUCCCCGAAAGCUAUUUAGGUAGCGCCUCGGACGAAUACCAUAGGGGGUAGAGCACUGUUUCGGCUAGGGGGUCAUCCCGACUUACCAAACCGAUGCAAACUCCGAAUACCUAUGAGUACUAUCCGGGAGACAGACUGCGGGUGCUAACGUCCGUAGUCAAGAGGAAAACAAUCCAGACCGCCAGCUAAGGCCCCAAAAUCAUAGUUAAGUGGGAAACGAUGUGGGAAGGCAUAGACAGCUAGGAGGUUGGCUUAGAAGCAGCCACCCUUUAAAGAAAGCGUAAUAGCUCACUAGUCGAGUCGGCCUGCGCGGAAGAUGUAACGGGGCUAAAACUAUGUGCCGAAGCUGCGGAUGUAUACUUUGUAUACGUGGUAGGGGAGCGUUCUGUAAGCCGAUGAAGGUGUGUUGAGAAGCAUGCUGGAGGUAUCAGAAGUGCGAAUGCUGACGUGAGUAACGACAAAACGGGUGAAAAACCCGUUCGCCGAAAGACCAAGGGUUCCAGUCCAACGUUAAUCGGGGCUGGGUGAGUCGACCCCUAAGGCGAGGCCGAAAGGCGUAGUCGAUGGGAAAAUGGUUAAUAUUCCAUUACUUCUGUGUAAUGCGAUGAGAGGACGGAGAAGGCUAAAUCAGCCUGGCGUUGGUUGUCCAGGUGAAAGGAUGUAGGCAUGUAUCUUAGGCAAAUCCGGGGUACUCUAUGCUGAGAUCUGAUAGCAAGCUGUACUUGUACAGCGAAGUGGUUGAUGCCAUGCUUCCAGGAAAAGUCUCUAAGCUUCAGUUACACAGGAAUCGUACCCGAAACCGACACAGGUGGUCAGGUCGAGUAGACCAAGGCGUUUGAGAGAACUCUGCUGAAGGAACUAGGCAAAAUGGUACCGUAACUUCGGGAGAAGGUACGCUGUUGUUGGUGAUGGAACUCGCUUCCUGAGCUGACGACAGCCGCAGAAACCAGGCCGCUGCAACUGUUUAUUAAAAACAUAGCACUCUGCAAACACGAAAGUGGACGUAUAGGGUGUGAUGCCUGCCCGGUGCUGGAAGGUUAAUUGAUGGGGUUAGCGUAAGCGAAGCUCUUGAUCGAAGCCCCAGUAAACGGCGGCCGUAACUAUAACGGUCCUAAGGUAGCGAAAUUCCUUGUCGGGUAAGUUCCGACCUGCACGAAUGGCAUAAUGAUGGCGGCGCUGUCUCCAGCAGAGGCUCAGUGAAAUCGAAAUCGCUGUGAAGAUGCAGUGUACCCGCGGCUAGACGGAAAGACCCCGUGAACCUUUACUGCAGCUUGACACUGAACUUUGACCUUACUUGUGUAGGAUAGGUGGGAGGCUUUGAAGCUGGAACGCUAGUUCCAGUGGAGCCGUCCUUGAAAUACCACCCUGGUAAUGUUGAGGUUCUAACUCUGUCCCGUGAUCCGGGACGAGGACCGUGUCUGGUGGGUAGUUUGACUGGGGCGGUCUCCUCCUAAAGAGUAACGGAGGAGUACGAAGGUGCGCUCAGCGUGGUCGGAAAUCACGCGUAGAGUAUAAAGGCAAAAGCGCGCUUAACUGCGAGACCCACAAGUCGAGCAGGUACGAAAGUAGGUCUUAGUGAUCCGGUGGUUCUGUAUGGAAGGGCCAUCGCUCAACGGAUAAAAGGUACUCUGGGGAUAACAGGCUGAUACCGCCCAAGAGUUCAUAUCGACGGCGGUGUUUGGCACCUCGAUGUCGGCUCAUCUCAUCCUGGGGCUGAAGCAGGUCCCAAGGGUAUGGCUGUUCGCCAUUUAAAGAGGUACGCGAGCUGGGUUUAGAACGUCGUGAGACAGUUCGGUCCCUAUCUACCGUGGGCGCUGGAAAUUUGAGAGGAUCUGCUCCUAGUACGAGAGGACCAGAGUGGACGAACCUCUGGUGUACCGGUUGUGACGCCAGUCGCAUCGCCGGGUAGCUAUGUUCGGAAGGGAUAACCGCUGAAAGCAUCUAAGCGGGAAGCCUACCUCAAGAUAAGAUUUCCCUAGGACUUUAUGUCCUCUAAAGAGCCGUUCGAGACUAGGACGUUGAUAGGUUGGAUGUGGAAGCAUAGUGAUAUGUGAAGCUGACCAAUACUAAUUGCUCGUGAGGCUUGACUAUACAACACCCAAGCAGUUG